GGUGUCAGUUUGAUAAUCCAAAGUUCAUAAGAUUCUGCAACGACGAUGAAGCUGAAGUGAUGAAUAGGACUUUGCUGCAAGGGCUAAAGGCUCGGCUAGGCCAAGCUAAAAGAUUAUGGAUUAAGGAAUUAUACCAUGUGCUCUAGACGUAUCACAUGACUCAGCGAGUUCCAAUUCGAGAACCUCCUUCAAGCUGGCUUUUGGGAUUCAGACCGUC
rnacentral:lncRNA from 1 species